GAAAGGACUGCUAAUACCGAAUGUUGUAUCUCCUCCGCAUGGAAGAGAUAUUAAAGAUGGCCUCUACUUGUAAGCUAUCGCUUUGCGAUGGGUCUGCGUCUGAUUAGCUAGUUGGUGGGGCAACGGCCUACCAAGGCGACGAUCAGUAGCCGGUCUGAGAGGAUGAACGGCCACAUUGGAACUGAGACACGGUCCAGACUCCUACGGGAGGCAGCAGUGGGGAAUCUUCCGCAAUGGGCGAAAGCCUGACGGAGCAACGCCGCGUGAGUGAAGAAGGUCUUCGGAUCGUAAAGCUCUGUUGUCGGGGACGAAUGUUGAGAUUUAGAAUAUAGAUUUCAAAUGACGGUACCUGACGAGGAAGCCACGGCUAACUACGUG
rnacentral:rRNA from 1 species